UACGAAGGGGGCUAGCGUUGUUCGGAAUUACUGGGCGUAAAGCGCGCGCAGGCGGUCUUCCAAGUCAGUGGUGAAAGCCCGGAGCUCAACUCCGGAACUGCCAUUGAAACUGUUGGACUUGAGUACGAGAGAGGUGAGUGGAAUUCCCAGUGUAGAGGUGAAAUUCGUAGAGAUGUGGAGGAACACCAGUGGCGAAGGCGGCUUUUUGGUCUGUAACUGACGCUGAGGCGCGAAAGCGUGGGGAGCAAACAGG
rnacentral:rRNA from 1 species